rnacentral:rRNA from 1 species
GACGAACGCUGGCGGCGUGCUUAACACAUGCAAGUCGAACGGAGUGGCGAACGGGUGAGUCACACGUGGGUGACCUGCCCUGCACUUGGGGAUAAGCCUUGGAAACUGUGUCUAAUACCGGAUCGUUUGGGAUGGGCGGGCGGCCUAUCAGCUUGUGGGUGGGGUAAUGUCCUACCAAGGCGGCGACGGGUAGCCGGCCUGCGAGGGUGGACGGCCACAAUGGGACUGAGACACGGCCCAGACUGCUACGGGAGGCAGCAGGGGGGAAUAUUGCACAAUGGGGGGAAGCCUGAUGCAGCGACGCCGCGGGGGGGAUGACGGCCUUCGGGGUGUAAACUCCUUUCACCAUCGACGCGGUAGAUGGAGAAGAAGCACCGGCUAACUACGUGCAAGCAGCCGCGGUAAUAC